GAAAUUAGUGAUAUGAAAUUGGCCCAUCUAACAGUGACACCUCAAUACCAGCUCGAAAGUCCACGUGCUAUUUGGGAAUAUACUGGAUUCUCAGCAAUAUGUGGAAUGGGGAGAGAAGGCGUUUCUCUAACAACACAUUUUCAAGUCAAAAGGAAGAAUUAGAUAACAGGAGGAAUUAAAUGUAGUCAUUUUUUAAAAUGAAAAAUGUUCUUGAAAUGAUUCAAUGUUUAGUUUAUCUUGAGCUCAAUUAUUCAACAACAGACAGCAAGCACUAUUUGGAUCACUCUGGCUAUACCAUAAGGCCAACUCCAUAGGGACAAUGGUGGCAUUUGGGUAAUGAUGCAAGGCAAGGUGGCUACUACAGAAGAAGGGAUUUGGGACUAGAAAUCAGGCCACAGAUAUUCUAGUACUGAGCCUACCACUCGCCAGCUGUGUGAUCCUGGUCACGUUGUGUGAACUCUCUAGGCCCUGGUAGCUACCUCAUCCCUCAUCUUUUAAAUGACAAGGUUGUCCUAGUGGAAAAGCUCUAAAGCUAGGCUGUACCUUAGAAUUACCUGGAGAGCUGUUUAAAAUUAUCAACAUCCUGGAGUUCCAGUCGUGGCGCAGUGAUAAUGAACCCGACUAGUAUCCAUGAGGGCGCAGUCAAUCCCUGGCCUUGCUCAGUGGGUUAAGGAUCUAGCAUUGCCAUGAGCUGUAGUGUAGGUCGCAGAUGCAGCUUCGAUUUGACCCCUAGCCUGGGAACUUCCACAUGCUGCGGGUAUAGCCCUACAAAGACAAAAAAUAAUAAUAAUAAAUAAAUAAAAUUAUUAACAUCCUGGUCUCACUGCAUGCCAACUAAACCAGAAUCUUUAGGGAUGAGGCCAGCCUCUAAUUAUAUUUUAAAGCCUCACGGGGUGACUCUUCUGUGCAAUGGAAGUUUGAAAACCACUGCUCCCCUUUCCCUUAUUCCACACCUUGAUUCUAUUCCAGACUAAAAAGUUAUCUGAACAUGGAGUUCCCGUCGUGGCUCAGUGGUUAACAAAUCCAACUAGGAACGAUGAGGUUGUGGGUUCAAUCCCUGGCCUUGCUCAUGGGCUAAGGAUCUGACGUUGUCAUGAGCUGUGGUGUAGGCCGGCAACUAUAGCUCUGAUAAGACCCCCUAGCCUGAGAAUCUCCAUAUGCCGUGGGUUCGGCCCUAAAAAGACAAAAAAUAAUAUAAAAAUAAACAAAUAAAAUAAAUGUAAAAGCGAAGUGGCAUAAUGAGAACUUAUGAAAAGCAGGGGAUACCUACACUAACCUUUUAAAAAGCACAUAUAAAACUAUAUAUACUUGUGCUAUGUUGGCAAUUACAUAGGAUAAGGCUAAAGGAUAUAAAUUAUUUCUAAAUGCUGCCAUAGUUGUACUCAAUAUAUUUGUAUUUUUCCUGUUUCUGCUAUCCAAACAUCUUACAUAGAAUUAAUAUUACUUUUUUUUUUUUUUAAUCUUUUUAGGGCCGAACCCAUGGCACACAGAGGUUCCCAGACUGGGGUGGAAUCCGAGCUGGCCUACACCACAACCACAGCAACGCAGGAUCCGAGCCGUGUCUGUGACCUACACCACAGCUCACGGCAGUGCUGGAUCCUUAACCCACUGAGCGAGGCCUGGGAUCAAACCUUCAACCUCAUGGAUGCUACUCAGAUUCAUUUCCACUGAGCCACAAUGAGAACUCCUUAAUAUUACUUUCAUAAAAAACAAUUAAUGCAUACAUCUAAAAUAUAUUACAAAACCAUACAUGAAGUAUAUAUACACUAAUAUUUGAAUAUACAUGCAUUUUAGAAAAUGAUUUUGUCACAGACCAAUAGGGGAAAACAAGGAUACUUCAUCCUUUGUCACACAAAAUGCAAGCUUCCUAUUUGGAUAACAAAGUACAACUUUAUUAGGCAAGAUUCUCUUCAAUUCACUCGACUAGGUAUACAGCAGGGAGACUUCCCAAGAGCCAGUGGAAAGGGUUAAUCCCAUCAUUCAUGCUGGUCUUGGCCUAGCUACUAAAAAUAGAAACAUCUUACAUCUGGAGAAAUAUUGAGCUGGGUGAUAAUCAACAAGUCACCUGACCUCCAUGUUUUGGUUUCCACAUUGUUUAAAAAAUGAACGAGAAAGAGAACAAAAGUACAAUCCAAAUCACUAUAAAUACACAAAAUAAGCCAAUAAUAUCCGAAAUGAAAUGUAAGAAGACAAACAAACAUCUUAAAGGCACAUCAUCAGGAUUCGAACGUUGGCCAUACACUAAAAGCACUCAAGACACCGGGAUGUGAAACCUUUCUCUUUGACAGUGAAAACCACCUAUGCGUUCACUUCGGUAAACGCAUCCAUCUCAAAACUCCCGCUCUCAGCAUCCACCUACAAGGUCUUCGCUUUUCCAUUCUCUUAACUCUUGUAAACUAUUGUAUAACAUUUUCACGCCUUUUAUACCUUUUUAAGCGUUUAUACUACAAAAAUCUCACGGAAGAGCACCUUUUCUCUAACCGGUUUGUUGGUCCCUUUCACCAAAAGUUUGGCCUCUAACCCUCGCUCUACCCACAAAGUUCAGUUCACAGGAAAUGCUGACUUAAACUAGAAAUUAAUUCCCGGCCCUACCGCAGAUUUGGCGCCAGUUUAAAGGGGUCCUAGAAUAAAAUCCUAGCAGGAAAUCCUAAAAGUGGUGGUUCAGGUCUUUAAUUUUGAUAAGUAUAAAAGUGGAGUUUUUCUAGGUUUUGCUGGCCACACAAACACUGUCGGUGGGUGUGCGUUGGCAUGAACUUUCCGAAAGGUCACAAACUCAGAAAGGAAAACGAAAGCGAAAUUUAGGGUGCGAAACUUAGGGUGUUUCAAAGGUGAAACCCCCCCGGCCUCUGUGGCAGCAGCAGUGCGUGCACUAACUGAAAGCCUUGCUUGCAGGCACUGAUCACACCCC
rnacentral:lncRNA from 1 species